rnacentral:rRNA from 1 species
GGGAACUGAAACAUCUAAGUACCCAGAGGAAAGGAAAUCAACCGAGACUCCGUAAGUAGCGGCGAGCGAAAGCGGAUUGUUGUGAGACCAGUGAACGCGUUGGAAUGCGCGGUCGAAGACGGUGAAAACCCGGUAGCUGGAGGUAGCAACAUAGCUCUAGAGUAGGCUCGGGCUCGUGGAACCCGGGUUGAACAUGGGGGGUCCACCCUCCAAGGCUAAGUACUC